rnacentral:lncRNA from 1 species
GCUGCACGGGCCGGCGCCGCUUUGGAACCCGCCCCGGGCAGAGCGCGGCUGCUUUUGGGUGUCGGCACCUGCCCGGGCCGGGCUGGGAGCGGAGGCGGAGCGGGAGGAAGAGGAGGGACGGAAGAGGAGGAGCAGGAGCAGCACCAACACCACGCUGUUUCCCGUCUCAGGUUGCAGCUGCCCCGGGUCCACCAGUAUCGCUCCCCCUCGAACCCACAGGGAGGAGCAGUCCCAGCCGGGGAGUCUGGGAUGGACGGGGGCAGGAGAGACUGGACACUGGUGCAGAUGGACACAGACACAGGAGCCAUGGAUCCCACUCUGGAUGGACACUGGUCCAGAAGGAUCCCAGCUGGCCACUGGCAUGCUAGGGUGUUACCGACCCUCCAAGGGGCCCAAAGAGCUGCAGGGACCCAAGAGGACACGAGAGGAUGAG